rnacentral:rRNA from 1 species
AGGGCAAGUCUGGUGCCAGCAGCCGCGGUAAUUCCAGCUCCAAUAGCGUAUAUUAAAGUUGUUGCAGUUAAAAAGCUCGUAGUUGAAUUUCGGGGUUCUACCGUUGGUCGGGCUAUUGUCUGUACUGGCGUGUAGAAUUUCUACCUUCUGGAGAACUAUCAUGUUAUUAAUUUAGCGUGGUAGGAAACCAGGACCUUUACCUUGAAAAAACUAGAGUGUUCAAAGCAGGCUUAUGUCUGAAUACAUUAGCAUGGAAUAAUAAAAUAGGACGGUGGUCCUGUUUUGUUGGUUUCUGAAUCACCGUAAUGAUUAAUAGGGAUAGUUGGGGGCAUUAGUAUUCAAUUGUCAGAGGUGAAAUUCUUGGAUUUAUUGAAGACUAACUACUGCGAAAGCAUUUGCCAAGGAUGUUUUCAUUAAUCAAGAACGAAAGUUAGGGGAUCGAAGACGAUCAGAUACCGUCGUAGUCUUAACCAUAAACUAUGCCGACUAGGGAUCGGACGAUGUUAACUUUUCUUGACUCGUUCGGCGCCUUACGGGAA